GAAAGGGGGAAGGUUUUCUAGGGUUCCUGGGGCUCUAGGGCAGAGGCAGUCGCGAAUCGCGAUGGGGAAGCACGAAUUCAUGACGCCCAAGGCGAUCGCCAACCGGAUCAAGGCCAAGGGCCUCCAGAAGCUGCGCUGGUAUUGUCAGAUGUGCGAGAAGCAGUGCCGCGACGAGAACGGCUUCAAGUGCCACUGCCUGAGCGAGAGCCACCAGCGGCAGAUGCAGAUCUUCGGCAUGAGCCCCGGUAAAUUCGUAGGCCAGUUCUCGCACGAUUUCGAGUCGGCAUUCAUGGAGCACAUGAAGCGCAACCAUCGCUCCAGCCGCGUCGCCGCCAACGUCGUCUACAAUGCCUACAUCCAGGACAGGACCCACGUCCACAUGAACUCCUCGCGCUGGGCGACGCUCACCGAUUUCGUCAAGUACCUCGGCCGGACCGGCAAGUGCAAGGUGGAGGACACUCCCAAGGGCUGGUUCCUAACUUACAUCGAUCGCGAGCCCGAGACGCUCCUCCGGGAGGGGCAGAAGCAAAAGAGGAUCGCUGCCGAGGCCGCCGGGGAGGAUCGCCACGAGAGGGAGAUCGUGUCCAUGAUAAAAAAGGCCAAGAAAUCGUCGCAGCACCAGCCCGAGGCUGGCUCCUCGCAGCAGGCCACCGAGAUUGACAAGGAGGUCGAGGCCGGAGAAAAGAUCGCGUUUUCCUUCGGUGGCGCUUCGAAGCCGCCGGUGGCGAAGCCGGCCUCGAUCGAGAGACACGAGGAGCACAAGAGCGAGGAGAAAAAUCCGGUUUUGGCCGCUGACACUCCUCCGCCCAAGUCCAAGGGAAUGGGAGCUCUCGACGAGCUCAUGAAGGAGCAAGAACUCGUCAAGGAGAGGAAGAACCGAAAGGACUACUGGCUCUCCGAGGGGCUCGUCGUCAAGGUGAUGGCCAAGAGCCUGGCCGAUUACUACAAGCGCAAGGGGGUGGUGAGGCAAGUGAUCAACAAGUACGUGGGAGAGAUCGAGAUGCUCGACAGCGGUCACGUACUCAAGGUGGAUCAGGCGGAGCUGGAGACCGUGAUCCCGCAAAUCGGCGGCCUUGUGAAGAUUGUCAACGGGGCUUACAGGGAUUCCUUGGCCAAGCUCGUGUCGAUCGACGAGGACAACUUCUGCGCGAAUGUACACAUCGAGAAAGGUUCGUACAUUGGAAGGCUUGUUCCAGGGAUCGCGUACGAGGACCUGUGCAAAGUCCACGCAUAGAGAUGGAAGAACCAGCGGAGAUGAAAUUAUUCUUCGAUCGUUGGAACCAUUUCAACGAUGUACCAACAGUAAUGUGCGAGAGUUUUUCUAGGUGGGACAGACGCGACACUCGGCUUCUUUCCAGCUGGAUGAGUCGCGUUUCUACACAGAGUAGAGGCGGAUCAAAAGCACCGAAAGCAGAGGAUGAAGUUACCGGGAUCUCUGGAAGUGGCGCCUGUGAUCUUUUCUUCUGCUCGAUGCUCAUCUCAGCCAAUGAAAGAUUGCAAGUAGUCUUUCUGCUUCCGUUUUUCCGCUCUGGUUUCUAAAGCUCUUGCCUUUCUUGCUCAGAUUGUCUCGCGAUUAGCCCCGUUUGUCCUCCCCAAUCCGUGAGGAAUAUAACUUGUAGAACCGGAGGCACCGCAAGCGGCGAGUGCUACUUCGUUGGCCGAUGCUAUCCUCAAAACAAUGGGUGCUACAUGCUGAGCGCGACGGAGCAAGUUUUCUGUGGCUUCUAGCACCAUUUUCAUUUUCAAAAUAAAACCUUCACGUUAGAAGGUAAAAAGAA